rnacentral:lncRNA from 1 species
AGAUGGCACAGUUUGGUGGAAACACUCUGGCUUAGACUCAGGCUCUGGAGGCUCAAGUCAUGCCCCCACAUUUAGAAUCCUGUAUUGUUUACCUAGUUAUUUGACAUUCUGGCCUUAGUUUUGUCAUCUGUAAGAUGGAGGCAAUAAUACCUGCACAGUUUAUGGAGUUAUUAGGUGGCCCCAAGCAGGCGAUGGAGGGUACUUUGCAAGGUGAUACACAAAAGUGAGAAAUGACCGGGCCUCCCGUCUGUCCAAGGACAAGCAUGCUUCCGGCAGGGUCUGCUGUGUGCACGGAGCACCCGUCAGCCUGGAGCAGACCUGAGACGCUGGCACAAGAACUGUCAUCUGGAGAAGCGUCACCUCCUGUCCGGCUGAGGUUCCACGGGGCUUCUGCCAGAGACCUGAAUAAAUGUUAUAGAACAGCCCAAUCUCACUGUCCUCCUUUGUCUUCCAGAAGCCCUUGCCCUGUCCUGAGCUUACUGACAUGGCCAAAAGACUGAAAAUGCUAACAAGACAGGGAGCCCCCCAUCUGCAAAUCCUGUUCUUACCCAUCAAGCUAAGCCA